CACAGCUCCUCAGCCAAUCGGGAGCGAGGAUGAGUCGCGCACUUUUCCUGCUUCUGAACGAAGGGAAGCUGCCUUCCAAGCGACAGGGAGUGUUGGAGACGCUCUAUCCUCAGUGCUCGAGAAGGGUGGAGGCCCCGGAUUCUUACUCCAGAACAAGUCAAGGCAAAUACUGUUCAUGAUGUGGACUAUAUACCACAGACAACUCUGACGCAAAGGGAGGUUUGAUCCCCAGUGGCACAUAAGCCAGGUGUGACAGAUGCAGGCUGCAAUCCCAGCUCUCAAGAGGUGGAAGCAGAAAGAUCAGAAGUCCACGACAACCAAGAGCUGUAGUGAGCUCAAGUCAGCUCUAGGAUGAAGCAGUGCUCAUCUUCAGGUUUCCUGUGGCAACAGGGUCUCUGCUUCAUGGUUUACCUCCGCUCAAUUUGCUCAAGUAGGAUGUCCUCUGGGAAUCACUGCAUUUACACUCGGCCUGCACUGACCCAGAAUACAGCUGG